GGAUAUCAAAGCACUGAGAAUGCAAGUACUCACUUAAUCUAAGUGCAACCAAUGAUUUAGAUGGGUUUUAAACUAUGACUAAAACUAGAAAGCAAUAACAGAAUGAUACUUUCUUGACUAAAGGAAAAGAGAACUCAUGGGUAUAGGGAUUAGACCUUGGGUGAUCAAGUAUCGAACUAAGGAUGGCAGAUGAUCAAUCAAACUAUCAACCUUAAGCCUAGACACAAUUCUAAGCAAACUCUAUGUCUAGAUGAAUGCUCAUUUGCUAACAUAUCUCAAACAUCAAAUGUCUUUGGUUGAAUAAUAUGAAAGCAAUCAUUACUAACAAGUCUAUUAGCUAUCUUAGUACCUUUAACAACAAAUGUCUUUGGCAAAGUAUACUAAAAGCCUAGAAGAGUUGUCUCGGGCAUUUCAUCGAACACCUUUCGGGUGAGAAAUGCCUAAGGAUCAACAACUGAGUGGCCAACUCAGAAGAUGCAUUAUGAUUACUCUACUAGCAAGGAAAUAUGAAUGAUCUACACUAAAACAUCCUAGCUCUAACCUAAUCACCCUUAAUCUCCCUAACCCAUGAAUUCAAAAGGUGAUUACUCACUAAUCUCCAUGAUUCCUCUUAAACCCAUAUUGGAUUUCAGAUUAAUCAUGUAGAGAAAUACAGGAAAUAAAAGGAACACAGAAUUUCAAUAACAAACUGAUCAAUUCAUUCAAAGAGAUCCCUUUCCAAGGGUUUUUGGUGGUUUUUCUAAGAACAAAGAUGAUCUGCCUCCUGGUGGCUUACAGAGUAAUAAAACAUAGGUUUAGAAAAUAAAAACGUGCAUAAUGAAAUGACCAAAAUGCCCUUGAGAAAUCACAAGUUCGAGCAGAAACAAAACACGGAGCGACCUCAGCCCGUCGCUCCGACAAGUCGCUCCAGGCUUCGGGAGCGACCUCGCUGUGUCGCUGCGAGAGGUCGCUCCGGGCUCGUUCUGAGCAUCUCCGGGUGAUGAAAACGCGAGCGAUUUCUCCCUGUCGCUCUGGUAUGGUCGCUCUGAGCUUCGGGAGCGACUUCAGCACGUCGCUCUGGAAGGUCGCUCCGAGGUGUAAAUGUGUGUCUCCAGACGUGAAAACACGAGCGACCUUGUGCAGUCGCUCUGGAUGAGUCGCUCCGGGAUGUGGUGCACAGCGACCUCAUGCCGUCGCUCCGAGAGGUCGCUCCGGCUGUGCUCGUCCAAAGAUCACUCUUUUCACCUCUUUUGAGCUCCAAAUAACCUCAUGUGGUACUCCAGUACCUAAUAGAGACUCAUGUAUGCAAAAUGCAACCUAAACAUGUCUGAAUCCUAAUCUAUAUGAUGAAAAUGCUCAUGGAUGAAUGGAUAAAACAAUGCAAAUAUGCAAACUAAGGAUGGCAGAUGAUCAAUCAAACUAUCAACCUUAAGCCUAGACACAAUUCUAAGCAAACUCUAUGUCUAGAUGAAUGCUCAUUUGCUAACAUAUCUCAAACAUCAAAUGUCUUUGGUUGAAUAAUAUGAAAGCAAUCAUUACUAACAAGUCUAUUAGCUAUCUUAGUACCUUUAACAACAAAUGUCUUUGGCAAAGUAUACUAAAAGCCUA
rnacentral:lncRNA from 1 species